AGGACAUAUUGAGGACAUUUCCGCAGGAGCUCUUUGAACCUAUCCUCUCUCUCAAAAGAGACUCCAAUUCUAUUUGUACAAAAUAGGAUAUUUCAUUCCUAAGCUU